rnacentral:rRNA from 1 species
GACGAACGCUGGCGGCAUGCCUAACACAUGCAAGUCGAACGAUCCCUUCGGGGUUAGUGGCGCACGGGUGCGUAACGCGUGGGAAUCUGCCCUUUGCUUCGGAAUAACAGUUAGAAAUGACUGCUAAUACCGGAUGAUGUCUUCGGACCAAAGAUUUAUCGGCAAAGGAUGAGCCCGCGUAGGAUUAGGUAGUUGGUGGGGUAAAGGCCUACCAAGCCGACGAUCCUUAGCUGGUCUGAGAGGAUGAUCAGCCACACUGGGACUGAGACACGGCCCAGACUCCUACGGGAGGCAGCAGUGGGGAAUAUUGGACAAUGGACGCAAGUCUGAUCCAGCAAUGCCGCGUGAGUGAUGAAGGCCUUAGGGUUGUAAAGCUCUUUUACCAGGGAUGAUAAUGACAGUACCUGGAGAAUAAGCUCCGGCUAACUCCGUGCCAGCCGCCGCAGUAACAC